rnacentral:rRNA from 1 species
UACGGGGGGGGCAAGCGUUGUUCGGAAUUACUGGGCGUAAAGGGCUCGUAGGUGGCCAACUAAGUCAGACGUGAAAUCCCUCGGCUUAACCGGGGAACUGCGUCUGAUACUGGAUGGCUUGAGUUCGGGAGAGGGAUGCGGAAUUCCGCGUGUAGCAGUGAAAUGCGUAGAGAUGGGGAGGAACACCGAUGGCGAAGGCAGCCCCCUGGGCUGACACUGACGCUCAGGCACGAAAGCGUGGGGAGCAAACAGG